UAAUUAAAUCCCUUUUCUUUUCACCCUUCGGCUUCCUCCAUAAGCCAUUUGAAUUCUCUUCCUUCUCCUACACGCUCGACAAGAGAACAAAACCCUCUCCUUCUCCUUUACCCCAUCGAUAGCUUCUAAGGCAAGACAAUUGAUUUCUUCCUCAUUCCUCUUUACUGUCGGUCCCAAGGUACGCGAAGGAGAGAAAACUUCUCAAGUUUUCCUUCACACGAAGAACCCUUUGGCUUUCCCCAAUCGCGUGACCUCUUCUUCUCCUCAAGCCAAUCCUUUCCACUUCCUAAACCUAAGAUCUUCCACCGAAAAUCUUCAAAGAAAUUGAUCCCCCCUAAAUCCUUUGGAUUUUCUCUUCCUCUUCUUGUCGUUGUGUACUUCCAUGGCUUCAAAAGAGACCCAAACAGGUAUGAAUGAUGAGGCUGUGGAGCUGGGCACUGCUGAGGAGGGAAGGGCCGAUGCUUAGAGUUCCAUGUCGGUUCGAUUUUGAUGAUAAUGAUUAUGUUUUUAUGUUUUUAUGAUGGGUCCCAUGUUGGGACAUUUUGUUGGCUUGACGUUAAGACAAUAUGCAUUUGGGCAUGAUGUAAAUACUAUGGUGGGGUGAAGGUAAUGGUGUAACUUCUAUGGUGGGGUGAUGGUAACCCCACAUAAGAAGGUUAAAUGCCUUUUUAUAUGUGUUGUGGGGACUGAGUUCCCUCUUAUUUAGAACUAGCUAUGUUUGAUGAAUGGAUGAUGGACUCUGAGAGUCCUUUUAUUAGAAACUUCA